AGGAAAAAGACUAAAUUAUCAAGUGAACAAAAUAAAGAAGAUUCAUAUUAUGAUUGGUAAAAUAAACGAAUUAACAAUGAGACAUGAUACAAGUGACUGUUAGAAGACACAUGGACAGUUUAGUAACAGAGAUUUUAAAAUAAAAUAAACAUUUUCAAUGGAGAUGAUGAAAUCAGUGCAGACAAGGCUGCUUUUAUUUAAAAAGAGGAAUGAAAAGCAUGCUUUUUAAGCUAGUGGAUUGACAAACAGAGUCCAAGGUUUUAAAAGAUCUGGCUGUUGUCCGACUGAUUUAAAGAGAGACAGUGAGAGAGGGAAUACAAGCAGGGUGAGUG